CCUACGGGUGGCAGCAGUGAGGAAUAUUGGUCAAUGGACGCGAGUCUGAACCAGCCAAGUAGCGUGAAGGAUGACUGCCCUAUGGGUUGUAAACUUCUUUUAUAUGGGAAUAAAAUGUUCCACGUGUGGGUUUUUGUCUGUACCAUAUGAAUAAGGAUCGGCUAACUCCGUGCCAGCAGCCGCGGUAAUACGGAGGAUCCGAGCGUUAUCCGGAUUUAUUGGGUUUAAAGGGAGCGUAGGUGGAUUGUUAAGUCAGUUGUGAAAGUUUGCGGCUCAACCGUAAAAUUGCAGUUGAAACUGGCAGGCUUGAGGACAGUUGAGGUGGGCGGAAUUCGUGGUGUAGCGGUGAAAUGCUUAGAUAUCACGAAGAACUCCGAUUGCGAAGGCAGCUCACCGGACUGCAACUGACACUGAGGCUCGAAAGUGUGGGGAUCAAACAGGAUUAGAUACCCUUGUAGUC
rnacentral:rRNA from 1 species